GCAUUGGUGGCUCAGUGGUAAAAUUCUCACUUUUCCUGUGGGAGACCUGGGUUCAAUUCCUAGCCAAUGCA
rfam:Loxodonta africana unplaced genomic scaffold scaffold_1, whole genome shotgun sequence.